AAUCAAGCGCGAGAAGGGCGUUUGGUGGAUGCCUUGGCAGUAAGAGGCGAUGAAGGACGUGAUACUCUGCGAUAAGCCGGGGGGAGCUGAGAAUGAGCUUUGAUCCCUGGAUUUCCGAAUGGGGCAACCCACCUGAAUGUUCGUUAUUAUCUGCUCUGCAGUUAAUAACGCGCAUAAACAGGUACUUAAGGACUGAAUACAUAGGUCUUUAAGAGCAAACCCGGAGAACUGAAACAUCUAAGUACCCGGAGGAAAGGAAAUCAAUGAUACUCCCCUAGUAGCGGCGAGCGAACGGGGACCAGCCGAGACCGAUGAGUGAUUGGAACAUGUUGGGAAGCAUGGCCAUAGCGGGUGACAGCCCCGUACAAUAAGCUCUGAGGUACGUAUUAAGUAGGGCGGGACACGUGAAAUCCUGUCUGAAGAUCGGGGGACCACCCUCGAAGGCUAAGUACUCCUUACUGACCGAUAGCGAACCAGUACCGUGAGGGAAAGGUGAAAAGCACCCCGACGAGGGGAGUGAAACAGUACCUGAAACCGGACGCCUACAAUCAGUCGGAGCUUGACUGGACUCUAAUGACAGAGAUUGUUAUUAGUGUCCAGUCUUGUGACGGCGUACCUUUUGUAUAAUGGGUCAUCGACUUGGUCUAUCCAGCAAGCUUAAGCCGUUAGGUGUAGGCGCAGCGAAAGCGAGUCUUAAUAGGGCGAUGAGUUGGAUGGAUCAGACCCGAAACCGAGUGAUCUAGGCAUGGCCAGGUUGAAGGUAAGGUAACACUUACUGGAGGACCGAACCCACUUCUGUUGAAAAAGAACGGGAUGAGCUGUGCCUAGGGGUGAAAGGCCAAUCAAACUCGGAGAUAGCUGGUUCUCUGCGAAAUCUAUUUAGGUAGAGCGUCAUCCGAAUACCCUCGGGGGUAGAGCACUGGAUGGGUAAUGGGGCCCCACAGGCUUACUGAUCCUAACCAAACUCCGAAUACCGAGGAGUACUAGAUGGCAGACACACUGCGGGUGCUAACGCCCGUAGUGGAGAGGGAAACAACCCUGACCUCCGGCUAAGGCCCCCAAUUCGUGGCUAAGUGGGAAAGCAGGUGGGACGACCAAAACAACCAGGAGGUUGGCUUAGAAGCAGCCAUCCUUUAAAGAUAGCGUAACAGCUCACUGGUCUAAACAAGUUGUCCUGCGGCGAAGAUGUAACGGGGCUCAAGCCACGAGCCGAAGCCGAGGAGUGCGUAUGCACUGGUAGCAGAGCGUAGUGUGACAUAGUCUCAUUCCUCCUUAGCGGGUUCGCCCGCCUUGGAGGAGAGAGGCUUUCGAUGAAGCCGGGGCGUGAGCCAUCCGGUGGAGAGAUCACUAGUGAGAAUGAUGACAUGAGUAGCGACAAAGAGUGUGAGAGACACUCUCGCCGAAAGUCCAAGGGUUCCUGCUUAAAGCUAAUCUGAGCAGGGUAAGCCGGCCCCUAAGGCGAGGCCGAAAGGCGUAGCCGAUGGGAACCAGGUUAAUAUUCCUGGGCCGGGAGGUGGUGACGGAUUGCGAAGGUUGUUCAUCCUUAUCGGAUUGGAUGGGCCGCUUAGCAGUUCCUGGAAAUAGCCCCUCCAUCAGACCGUACCCUAAACCAACACAGGUGGACUGGUAGAGCAUACCAAGGCGCUUGAGAGAACGAUGUUGAAGGAACUCGGCAAAAUGCCUCCGUAAGUUCGCGAGAAGGAGGCCCGCUUCGAAGGCAACUUCGGGGCGGGGGCACAAACUAGGGGGUGGCGACUGUUUACUAAAAACACAGGGCUCUGCGAAGUCGCAAGACGACGUAUAGGGUCUGACGCCUGCCCGGUGCCUGAAGGUUAAAAGGAGAGGUGAGAGCCUUGAAUUGAAGCCCAGGUAAACGGCGGCCGUAACUAUAACGGUCCUAAGGUAGCGAAAUUCCUUGUCGGGUAAGUUCCGACCUGCACGAAUGGCGUAACGACUUCCCCGCUGUCUCCAACAUCGACUCAGCGAAAUUGAAUUGCCUGUCAAGAUGCAGGCUUCCCGCGGUUAGACGGAAAGACCCCGUGCACCUUUACUACAGCUUCGCACUGGCAUCAGGACUGGGAUGUGCAGGAUAGUUGGUAGGCUUCGAAGCAGGGACGCCAGUCUCUGUGGAGCCAUCCUUGAGAUACCAACCUUCGCACUCUUGAUGUCUAACCGCGGUCCGUUAUCCGGAUCCGGGACCCUGCGUGGCGGGUAGUUUGACUGGGGCGGUCGCCUCCUAAAGCGUAACGGAGGCGCGCGAAGGUUGGCUCAGAGCGGUCGGAAAUCGCUCGUUGAGUGUAAUGGCAGAAGCCAGCCUGACUGCGAGACUGACAAGUCGAGCAGAGUCGAAAGACGGCCAUAGUGAUCCGGUGGUCCCGAGUGGAAGGGCCAUCGCUCAACGGAUAAAAGGUACGCCGGGGAUAACAGGCUGAUACUGCCCAAGAGUCCAUAUCGACGGCAGUGUUUGGCACCUCGAUGUCGGCUCAUCUCAUCCUGGGGCUGGAGCAGGUCCCAAGGGUACGGCUGUUCGCCGUUUAAAGAGGUACGUGAGCUGGGUUUAGAACGUCGUGAGACAGUUCGGUCCCUAUCUGCCGUGGGUGUAGGAUACUUGAGAGGAGUUGCCCCUAGUACGAGAGGACCGGGGUGAACGAUCCACUGGUGGACCUGUUGUUGCGCCAGCAGCAGUGCAGGGUAGCUAUGAUCGGACAGGAUAACCGCUGAAGGCAUCUAAGCGGGAAGCCCCCCUCAAAACAAGGUAUCCCUGAGGACCGUGGUAGACGACCACGUCGAUAGGCCGGAGAUGUAAGCGCGGCAACGCGUUCAGUUGACCGGUACUAAUUGUCCGAUAGGCUUGAUUUG
rnacentral:rRNA from 1 species